GACAGACCGAACCUUGCUAGUUUCUCUAUCUUUUUUUUUUUAACACCAAACUGAAAUUAAUAACUAGUUUCUUCUAUCUAAUCCUGGAUUCUCAUCAGACCAUUUCCAACCUUAUAGGCACCAGUCACUACAAAAAAAGUUCACAUUCAUAGCACAAUAUUAUAACUCGUUUUACUAAACUGCUAUCGUAGAUGAGUAUAAAAUUUCCGAACUCUAUAACAGCAUUACCUAAAUGCUAUAAAAUAAUUUUAGUAAGCGGGAACCUAAAAUCAUGUUUCUUCCAUACACUUACUGAAAAUCACAACCGUUCCCUCUCCCAUCUCUCUUAUCUCUCGUUUUCCCUCUCUCUUAUCUCUCAUUUUCCCUCUUUCUCCUAUAACCCUAAGAAAAAAAAUCCUCGUCAAUCACCACAACCCUCUCUCUUCGAUUCACAAAUAAUCAACCAAGAUUCAAGUCUGUCUCGGCCAUGAUGAAUAUGCUUGGAGCAACAUACAUAGAUGGUUUAAUCCCUAUCAUCAAUGACAUCAUCAUAUUUCUCAGAUCCAGAGUCUGAUUCAGAUAUCAUCAACGAACUUGUUCAUAUCAACCUCUGAAUCAGGCGUAAUCCAUCUCGACGACUAUGUAAUCUCCAAAUUCAUCAUCUCCCCUCCCACUCCACGACCUUGCUUCAUCCUCGUCUUCUUCGUCGCCACUCAACUCCACAGCAAUACCGAGCUCAGUCUCCAAGAGUUUCGCCGCGAGUUCAACCACGUCCCCGCUUCUUUCCUCGCUAACAACAACUUAUCCGACAUAGAUAUGCUCUUAUUCUGCGAAAUUGACUUUUCUCAGUCCCAGUCUUCGCUUGAUCCAAAGCAAAACUAACUCCGUCUCCAAGAGCUUUGCCGCUGAGUUCGUCGUUGAUGGAGGUGGUCUCAUCGUCAACCGAUUUGCAGACUGGCCUAGAAAAGGAGAUAACUGUGUUAUGAUCUGUUUCAGUGGUGAUUCUAGGCAGUGGCCUCUGGUCUCCAAAAUACAAAGCAUCUGUACAAAUGCAGAGCAGUGGCCUCUAACCUUCAAAUACAGAGCAUCUGUUACGUAGGUAAGCUGUUUAGCAUGAGAGUUGCAGAUCCUUAAACUAGGAAAAAGAAGAAUGAGAAUUGCAGUUUCUACAGUGGUUGAUGAAGACAAUAUGUUGGUGUUGGAAACUGACAGCAAUUCUCUCGCUCAGUUCCUCUGUCCCUUUAGCUAAAGGAUUCUACUUCUUUUGAUUAUUUGUUGCCGUGCAUCUAACCUGCAGUAGGCGGAUUAAGCUCUAAGAGAAAGGCUACUCUUUAGAAGUCAUUGUACUCUGUAUUUCCACAACACAAGAGCUCAUCUCACAACAACUACAAAAAUGGCCAUACGAUGAAGCUCAUAAACUAUUUAAAGGGCAUUAUUUUUUAACCGAUAAAGUCCCUAGACUUAGCUUUGGUGUAUGUAUAUUUUGGAUGAUAUAUAAAAUAAUGAAUGUUUUAUAUGAAAUAUAAAUUUUUGUUUGUAGAUCAAAUUGUAAUGAAUAGAUGAUAAUUAGAGUUGUGUUAUAAAAUAUUCUAUAUAUCGUCA